rnacentral:rRNA from 1 species
UACGAAGGGUGCAAGCGUUAAUCGGAAUUACUGGGCGUAAAGCGUGCGUAGAUGGCCUGUUAAGUCGGAUGUGAAAGCCCCCGGGCUCAACCUGGGAAUGGCAUCCGAUACUGGUGGGCUAGAGUGCGGUAGAGGAGAGCGGAAUUCCCGGUGUAGCGGUGAAAUGCGUAGAGAUCGGGAGGAACAUCAGUGGCGAAGGCGGCCAUCUGGGACAACACUGACGCUGAGGCACGAAAGCGUGGGGAGCAAACAGG